rnacentral:rRNA from 3 species
UCGCUAGUAAUCGCGGAUCAGCAUGCCGCGGUGAAUACGUUCCCGGGCCUUGUACACACCGCCCGUCACACCACGAGAGUUGGCAACACCCGAAGUCGGUGAGGUAACCUUUAUGGAGCCAGCCGCCGAAGGUGGGGCCAAUGAUUGGGGUGAAGUCGUAACAAGGUAGCCGUAUCGGAAGGUGCGGCUGG